GCGGCCGAUGUCUGAUUAGCUAGUUGGUGAGGUAAAGGCUUACCAAGGCGACGAUCAGUAGCUGGUCUGAGAGGACGACCAGCCACACUGGGACUGAGACACGGCCCAGACUCCUACGGGAGGCAGCAGUGGGGAAUUUUGGACAAUGGGGGAAACCCUGAUCCAGCCAUGCCGCGUGAGUGAAGAAGGCCUUCGGGUUGUAAAGCUCUUUCAGCCGGAACGAAACUGUCACGGUUAAUACCCGUGACUACUGACGGUACCGKAAGAAGAAG
rnacentral:rRNA from 1 species